UACAGAGACCUCAAGCGUUAUCCGGAAUCAUUGGGCGUAAAGCGUACCGAUAGGUGGUUUUACAAGUCAGAAGUGAAAUCUCUCAGCUUAACUGGGAGACUGUCUUUUGAAACUGUAAAACUAGAGGGGCAAAGAGGAAGCUGGAACAAACGGUGUAGUAGUGAAAUGCGUUGAUAUCGUUUGGAACACCAAUAGCGUAGGCAGGCUUCUGGGUGCCACCUGACACUGCUAGGACGAGAGCGUGGGGAGCGAUAAGG
rnacentral:rRNA from 1 species